AGACCCGAAACCCGGUGAUCUAGCCAUGGGCAGGUUGAAGGUUGGGUAACACUAACUGGAGGACCGAACCGACUAAUGUUGAAAAAUUAGCGGAUGACCUGUGGCUGGGGGUGAAAGGCCAAUCAAACCGGGAGAUAGCUGGUUCUCCCCGAAAGCUAUUUAGGUAGCGCCUCGUGAAUUCAUCUCCGGGGGUAGAGCACUGUUUCGGCUAGGGGGCCAUCCCGGCUUACCAACCCGAUGCAAACUGCGAAUACCGGAGAAUGUUAUCACGGGAGACACACGGCGGGUGCUAACGUCCGUCGUGAAGAGGGAAACAACCCAGACCGCCAGCUAAGGUCCCAAAGUCAUGGUUAAGUGGGAAACGAUGUGGGAAGGCCCAGACAGCCAGGAUGUUGGCUUAGAAGCAGCCAUCAUUUAAAGAAAGCGUAAUAGCUCACUGGUCGAGUCGGCCUGCGCGGAAGAUGUAACGGGGCUAAACCAUGCACCGAAGCUGCGGCAGCGACACUGUGUGUUGUUGGGUAGGGGAGCGUUCUGUAAGCCUGCGA
rnacentral:rRNA from 1 species